AAAAUGAUAGUACCCUCUAUGUUUUGCCUGGAUCUUCUGACAGUUUUCUUAAACUCAUUGCAUUGCAUCCACGAGUCCCGAAAAUGAUGCUUUUGAAUAAUUUUGGGCAUUUUUUGCUACACACGUUAAAUCUAUACGUUAAAUAAAUAAGAUUUUGCCUAAAGGCUUCUAUAAUAAUAUAAACGCAGUUCAAUCUGGUUUUGAAUCAUGUUGGUUUCGUGAAAUUCGACUAUAGCUUGCAAGGGUGUACCUAUCUUUUCAUCUCGAUUUCCUACCAUGCCAGUUAGCACAUGUCGGUGAUUUUCCCAGGGGUGGAAAUAUCUGGGAAAACUUCAGAGGCAGUCUUAAAAAAAAUGUAGAUAAUUUAGUAAAAUCUCUAGUAAUAGAUAGUUUAGUAAAAAUAGCUUUAUUUCUUUAUUUUCAACUAUGAACUCCCAGAAAUGGUGCCCAAUUUCCUAGGAAACAUUUUUUCUCCUAGUGGCGCCAGUGGGAUUUAGGGGGCCUCGAAGUCUUGAAAUUUUACGAAUUAUACCGAAGAUCAGUGAAUAGUUUUAAUUCUUUGUUGUAUACGACUCCACUAACCUCACAACGGUUGUGUACCGCCCGGUUCAUCCUGGCUUCUUUUCUGGAGCCAUUUUUUUCGUACGAUGUGCCAUCUCUAGACUCCAUGUACGAUCACUAGACCGGAUGUUCCAUUUCUAACUGUUAAUUGUAGCGUCUACACAAAACAGCACACGUCGGUUUUUAAGCUUGUGAGGAAAACACGAGUGGAAGAAAAAGUGCCGAUGGCCUUGAUCCUUCCAACACGUAGACUUGAGACUUGAGAUUUGGCAUGAAUGUCGCCUAUCGAGCAAUGUGAUGCUGCUCUCAGUGCAGCUUGAAUUUUCGGUGACAGUUCACCGAUGUAUACCGAUGAAUGGCCAUUCUGCCAUUCAUGUAUUUGCUGUACCAAUGUAGCUGCCAGCUUCUCGGGUAUCUACAAUUUUCCAUCAAAUUCAUCGCUGUCCUCUCGGCAAAAUCAAGUACCGAUGUUGAAUCGGUAAGAUUGCAGCGAACCAACUGGUCAAUCUUUUUUCCAUUUUCUCAAACAAUGAGCUAUCUCAGAUUCUAAUGAUCUGUUUGGAUGUUAAGCGGCAUGAGCUCUAUCAGAGAGCAAAAAAUGCAUUAGGGGAUUAAGAGUAAUGUUAGGAAUAAGAAGUGCUUUUCUACAAACAUUUGGGUUGAAAGACGAAGACUUUGACCGAGUAGCGAAGCGGUUCUCUCAGUAUGCCCAGGAACGCAUUUCAAAGGUCAAGCGUCAAAAAUUAGAUAAUAAAUAAAUAAAUAAUUCAUAAUACAUUUACUUUAAGUUUAAACUGACGCAUUAAAGCUGGAAUUAAUCAUUCGCUGCGGGUUUGAUUUGGUAAAUUCGCUUCGUAUCCGUUUUAGUACCAUAGGCAAACUGUUGCCGCCGAUAUUUAAAUUCUGCUUCGAUCCCUUCAAUAUGGUCCUAUUAGAAAAAAAGAAGGGAUUUUGGCUUAUAUGGGUGAACGGCCACACUGAUCUACCGUUACAUUGCGAUACUAUCGACCGGAGAAAAAAGACAAAGUUUUUUAAAGUUUUUCUUUUCCAACUUGUAGUUAAAUAAUAAAUAAUAAAGUCGAAUUACUAAAGAA